rnacentral:rRNA from 1 species
GACGAACGCUGGCGGCGUGCCUAAUACAUGCAAGUAGGACGCAGUUGCGAACGGGUGAGUAACGCGUAGGUAACUGCCUAUUAGAGGGGGAUAACUAUUGGAAACGAUAGCUAAUACCGCAUACUAGUAGAUGGACCUGCGUUGUAUUAGCUAGUAGGUAGGGUAAUGGCCUACCUAGGCGACGAUACAUAGCCGACCUGGGAGGGUGAUCCGCCACACUGGGACUGAGACACGGGCCAGACUCCUACGGGAGGGAGCAGUAGGGAAUCUUCGGCAAUGGGGGGAACGCUGACCGAGCAACGGCGCGGGAGUGAAGAAGGUUUUCGGAUCGUAAAGCUCUGUUGUUAAGGAAGCGGUAUCUAACCAGAAAGCCACGGCUAACUACGUGCCAGCCGCCGCGGUAAUAC